CAGCGGGAUGGGCCUGAUGACAGCAGUCACAGCCCCGGCGCUCGUCGCCGCACAACCUUGGCGGGGCUCCUUCUUGGGUUCGCCCCGAAGGUUCUAGACCCGUCCGCGGAGGGGCCCCGGCCCCCCGUCGCGGUGCCUUUAAGGACCCGGUCCUCCGAGUCAGGUGACCGGGCCGUCGCCUAGCAACAGGACGCGGCGACCAUCCGCGCCCGCGAGCUGGAGCCGGGUUCCCGCCCGGGGCGAGAUGUCCCAGGAAACCCCCCAGGAGUGCGCGGAGCCCGCGGAGCCCGCGCAGCCCGAGAAAACCAGCGACCACUACCGCGUGAGCGAGGGCCUGCCGCGCAGGUUCAACCACCCGGGCUGGUUUCGGGGCUACAGGGCCAAGGAGCCUGUCUCGGUGUACAGGACCAGUAACCAGGCAUAUGGGAGCAGAGCCCCCACCGUGCAUGAGAUGCCUAAAGUAUUUUUUCCAAAUUCAAAUAAAUUUUCUAGACAACUUGCAGCCAAUGGAAUGUUCCGGAACAAUACUUUCAACAUCUCUAUGGAGAAGAGCGUGGUGACGGGCCCUGACAACUACAUCACCUCCUACGACCGGCUCAACUUCCACCCCAGUUACAAUGUCAACAGGCCUUCCAUCUGUGACUGAGGCGGGGCUAGAAAACCCCUCUCAAGGAAUCUUCUGACUUCAGUGGCCUUCCGGAAAACUGUCAUCCGUGAUCCUUGAAAUUCACCCAAUUAUAAAGAUGGGAGAAUGAGGAUUCACAGGAAGUGCUGUGGGCAGUCCCCAGGUUUGAGCCCGCCUUGGGGAUGUCCUGGGAGGUGCAAGGCCAUCAGCAUCUGACCCCGCAGACCAGCCCUAACUUCUCUGUAUUUGCACGAGUCAUACAGGAACUCCAGUGAUUACGAAGCUCAAGACCUUCAUCUUUGUAGCCUAUGUCCAAACUGAAAUCUUUAUGUGUUGAGGAAGAAAAAAAAAAGUUUAGAUCCACUCAUCUAACUGAAUGCUGGAAGAACGUGUUUUCCAUUUGGGGUUAUAGCGUACAAAAUGGGUGGUUGAAAGUGAAAGGAAAAUGACAUCCAAUCAUUCCUCUGACCUUGGUCCUUUCUAAAUCUUAAAUCCAGUCAGAACAAUUACAGAAAAGGUGAUCAAAACAUUUAGGGGGACAAAUCAGUUUUCAGAGACAUUGGAAAAAACAAAGGGCACAGUCAUUGAAAACCUCUCUUCACGAGUAGGUGUCUGCUUUAUUUGUCCUUUUUAUUCCACUUGGAAAUUAAAAGUUGAAAAAUAAAGUUUCAUUUGACUUUACUAAUCACUUAAUGAAGCUGCUAGUUUGGUUUAAAACCAGUAACUUCUUACCCUAUAUUUUCAUUUACAUUUCUGUAUUUUUCUUCAGCAAUCUUUUAUCUUUUAAUUAGAGUCAAUUAGAAUAAACAGUUUCAAAUACAUAGUAAAA